AAAUACCAUGCUCCCCUGGAGCAUAUAAUCAUCUAAGUAAUAGUAUCACAUUGAUCGACUGUUAAGGCAAAGGUUUCGAGAGCAACAAUCUCUGUUUCUUGCUUGCUCUGGUUCGAGGAACUGCUUCUUCGUGAGCCUUCUUUUUUAGCUUGAAUUGCCACUUCUUGUAGCGAUAUUCUGCCAAUGUGAUUGAUCUUACAUCGUGGAAAUUUGGUUUUACAGUGAUCUUGAUCUUCGGAAAAGUUGGUCAGGUUUGGAAUUCAUUUUUUCUCCAUCGUCCAGUUCAAGAACUCUGAAAUCAUCAUUAAUUACUUCCCAAUUUGUUUCCAUCACAUUUUGUAGCGUUUGCAAUCAUGGUUUCCGAUUAGGAACUAGCUUUCGAUAUCUAAUUGUUGCUCUUUUACUUUAUGCCUGUAAUUCUUGUUCUCCCUUUUUUUGACAAGAAUUCUUGUUCUUUUUCUUCUGAGUAAGUUUGUUCUGGUCUGAGCGGUUUGGGAUCUGGUAACUUCGUUUUAUGUUUGAAGUUUUCUUGAUGCAUUGGUGGGUCAGUUUUCAGUUUUUGUUGCUUUGGAUUUUGAAACAAGAGCCCAGAGAUCAAUUUCCUUUUUUUUUUGGCUUCAUUCUUGUAAUGGUUCCUCUACUGGACACUCAAGAGGGUGAAUAUUGGAGGCCUAGGUGGAUCAGCAAACACUAUUUUGCCUUUAAGGCUGUUUUCAAAUGUGUCAACUGAUUGUUCCCCAGUUAUUGUUGAGCUAAUGGUAUUUGGUUGCCUUGAUUGAUUCCCCACUCCAAGAUAUUCACUGAAUGCCGCUACUUGCCUUGAAGAUCGAUGCUAUUUGAAAUACAUGACAAUCUAACCUACAUUGUUACUGAAUAUCGGUGUACUUCCAUGAAUCAAUGAUCAUUUCUGAACUCCACACUGGUAAUUUCUGGGCAAACGCAAGUGAAUAUUGAAUUAAUUGUCUGGGAAAGGAACCAUUAAUCGACAAUCUGUUUAUCUCUUGUUCCAAGUUUCAAGUAAUCGUUUUGGCCGCAAAUUUCUGGGUAAUUGUAGAACCAGUGAUAUCAUCAUGGCAUAUACCCCACCGCAUAGAAGACACACAAAGGAUACAGAGAAGUCAACAUCCUCAUCUUCAUCACUCAUUCCCCAAUUGGAAGAGAGUUUGAAUUUUGGGAUCAGGUAUGCUGGUUCUUCAGGUCAUUCAAGCAAGAGUCUCAAAUAUGACAUGCCCAAUGUACCCAUAAAAUACUCCAAGAACUCCAUUUCAAGGUGGUGGGAUGUUGGGAUGUCGGAUAACAUGCGAUCAUCAGAAUCUCCAUCAGUUUCUUUGAAACCAUACCCUUGUCCACCUAUCGAACUAAGAACUGGUGAAAGCCCCUUGCUAUUGUGGCUAAGGAAGAAAGUGGUCACGAUAGGACUUUGGAACUUCGGUUACACAUUGCAAAGAGGAUACAACCGGACCUAGAUUCUGCUUUCCUUAUUGUAAAAAGCGAAAUGGAUUUUGGGAUGUCUAAAUAAUUAAAGCUUUCACUGACUGCCCGCUUUGGGAAAAUUCUCUUUUAUGGAGGCACUUCAAGUUGGAACAAUUCCAUUAACCUGGACAUGAUCAGAAAGAGUUUAGAAGAUGAGGGUGAAGCUAUAUACAACAAUCAAGUUCAUAAGACAUUCUAUAGAAAUGUUCCUGAGGAAUAUGUCAAAACAAUUGAAUGUCAGGCCAUCCCAAAGCUGGGACUUUUUGAGCUUCUCAAUUGCCUUAUCAUUUUACAGAUAGAGACAAACACGACACGACACUUGGUUAUUGACAUAUCAUGCCUUUGUAAGAAUGUGGACCUUCGUUUGAUUUUGGUGUCCAAGAAGAUUUUGACAGAACUACUGACUGUGAGUUUUACUGUACAAAUGCAGAGUGGGGAAAUGAUCAUUGAGCUUGAAUUUCCCUCAUUUAUAUUUGUACCAAUGUAUGGUUUCAGGUGGAAGAAAAAUCUGGCUUAUAUGAACUGGUGAACUCUGCAGUUUUGAUCCAAAUGUAAAGGGAAAACUUAGGUGGCCUCUAAAGAAAGAGGGCACUGGAGUUAGGUUCUCUAUUCAAGCAGUAUGGCAUACAGAAUCAAAGUACUUCCAGGGACCAACAACUAAGCUAAGGCUGAGACAUAUAAAUCGAUAUAACUUCCAAAACUCGACUGGCGAAGUCUCCUGGGAAGUCAAGUGUCAGAAUGCAAGAGAUAACCAGACUCUUGAUGGAUCAAAUGCUGGAUGGCAACAAGGUCGCGAUGGAGGAACUUCAAGGAACAUUAAAUCCAAAUGGGAAGAGUUCCUGAGUUGCUAAGCCCUGAGACAGUUAAGAGUUCUUAUAGCAAUCUGAA